UAUAUACCACAGCAACACCUACCCUCGAAGUCAUAGAUCAGCGAAACGGUCGCUGAGCAAGUUCGCCAACCGUACUUCGUCCCGAGAACACCUGGACGACCCCCUGGGGACUACGUAACCUCUUCGACGGGGAAGCAAAGUCGAGCUGGUGAAGAAGCAGAGGACGUUGGAGCGAAAGGGUGCAGAGGAACGUAUAUUCAGCGACCAUAGGCUAAAGGCCAACAGGUGGUUCGAUCCAGGGAGGACACAGGUAAAAUUCGAACCAAUCGAAACUCUUGGGGCUUCAACUGCUUGAGUUGCUUAGAAUUCUCUAAUCUCCUGAUAAUCUCUACUAAGCAGCGUUCAAUCGGGGAAAAAUGGAGCAGAAUUUCAAUUUCACGUUCGAUGUGGACAUACGUUGCUUCUAUCUCACAUAUUGGAUCAUACGAACCAUCAUUGACACAGCAUACACCAUGAUGCCCAUAAGUAGAAAUAGCUAUGUACCUGUUGGAUUCUCGGAUUGUGUUCUGGUGUGCUCUUUACUUCUCGUCUGCACCAUGAGCAAUCUAAUGAUAUAGAAGCGAACCAGACAUUUCUAACACUGCGAGAACCAGUGUUGAAGGAUCGACGAAUCACGAGCACGUGUCGAAGAUGGUCGAAAAUCUUAUUCAGAAACGAUCUUAUUUACUUUCGAAUAAAGAAUAAAAGAUAAAUUAUUAUGUUUAACACGUUGACCGCCACGUCACCCAUAUAUAUAUCGAAGAAGUAAACAAAUUAAUUCUGAAAGUUAAGCAUGAAAGGAAAUGAAUUUGAAUGAAAUUCAUGAAUUUCGAUGGUUACAAAAAUAAAUACCACGAUAAACAUUUGAUUGUGUAGUUUCCAAUAGUGUAGAUAAUAUUUAAUCCUAGCAGAAAUUUUCAAGAAUAUUUGUCCGGCAGUCAACGUGUUAAUAAGAGAUUAUAUCCAACAUAUUCUAUACAUUUUGUAUGUUUUUCACGUUACCGUAUACUACAAAUGGAUAAAAUUCACAGUCAACAGUAUCCCAGAAUUACUGUAAGAACCGGACAUGGGAGGUAGCUGAGACGAUUCUGAACCAUAAUUUCCUUUGGAAAAAUGUCGGAUGGUGCUUCGUUUUUGAAUUAUUAAGGAAAUAUCACCGACCAAUCACAGCGCCCGAGUGGCUGGCUACGUCAGCGCGCUGAUCGAGCUAAUCUGUGAUUGGUCGGUGGUUUUUCGUUAAUAAUUCAAAAACGAACCAUCAUCCUACAUUCUUGCAAAGGGAAUUGUAUCAGGUUGUCCUAAAAGUUUCUUCCAUUUCAGUAAUAAGUAAUACAUACAUAAUAUUUUAUGUCUAAUGUUACAUUAUUGAAUUGCGUACGAUUCAUUUUGCUUCAUUACUAUUCCAAUAUUAGCAUCUAAGAAAUUAGGUUGUCUAUUUAUACGAACAGUGCCACACAAAAUAACUGAAUGCAAGUCACGGAAGAAACUUUUAGGACAACCUAAUAGUUCAGAAUCGUCUCAGCUACUCCUCAUUUCCGGUUCUUACUCGAUUUAGGUUUACUGAAUUUCACCGUUUGAUUACAUCUACGAGUACUCUUGCGUUCUUCGAUCCUAUUUCUCGCAUCACUCUGUGUAUUAGUGACAAAUACAAGGCGGAGCGCUUGCAAACAGACCACCUAAACAACUUCGAGUAAUUUUCUAGUCUUGAAUAUUAUUGUCUUCGUAUAUAGAAGAGGCAUUGAGUCACGUGCUCGCCAUACACCGCAACAGAAUGGAGCUCUUAACUGACCAAAGACCAGAAGCCUUCAAUCUCCGAAUAUAUAAUAACGUCCAUUAACUAAGAAAAACACACAGAAGUUAAACACACAAAAGUCAGUUUAUUCUUUAUCUGAACUGAAUCAAUCGGGUGGCCUGUUUCGUUUGCCUCGCCUUGUAAGUACAUGUGACAACUAUAAUAUAAAAGUUAGAGUGCAGAAACACAAUAUUUUUAAUAUAAAAUAAUGUUUGUUGACUAAGUAAAAGUUAAUAUAUAUUGAUUAAUCUAUGCAAGCAAAUGAAGAAAUUUCUCCAAGAAGAUUUUUGACUAAAUACAAACAUAUAUCGAAUACAUAGGUGCAUGGAUUGUUUUAUUUUGAAUGAUGGUGCACGUGAUUACAAGUAAACGUGAAAGAUUAUUUUGAAAAGUUCACCACGCAUUUUGUUGUUAAAAAAUAGAAUCCUCGCAAAGAUUAUUUGUUGGGGAUUUCUUUGUUUGCUUGUAUAAAAUAAUCACGGAAUAUAAAAUAGGAUAUUUUUGUGGAAAAAUGACGAUCAACCGUUCGUUGAUAAGAAACGUGAAUCGCUCCGGAUAAGCGGGUGCAGUCUGUGAUGGAACCGAGUGCGUUAUACAUAUAGAGUAGGUUUUGUCUGGGUCCGCUCGUAACAAGUUCGAAUAUCUCAUGUCAUCGUGUGCAUAUGUUUGCGUUAGGGCUGGGUCUACUCGGGUGAUUUAAUGCGCAAAUAUUUUUGAUAUGUAUACGAAUGGUACAAAUGUGCGACAUUCGAGUAUUCGAACGUCCUUAUUGAAAUAUUGAAUAAAACUAACAGCCUGAUAGGAAAACCAACAUGAAGAAUUCGAUAUUUAAUUCUAUGAGCUAGAUGCUUGAUUAGUGCGAGAAAUAUUCGAAUAUUCAAAUUGAAUUCGCCGCAGAAAACCUAAAUUGAGUUUGAAAUAUCAACAGAAAUCAAUAAUGCACGAAGAGUAGUCGGAUGCAAUAGAAUAGUCAAGUAUUCGAUUAGUAUUUGAGUAGUACUCGAAUAAUCGAAUUACCUCACCAGAGAAACGUUCGAAUACUUGAAUACAGAGAAGCUCGACUAGUCCCAAGCUCUACUUUGCGUUGCUCGCCAAAUUUCUACUCAAGCGCGAGUAGCUCACGCUAUAAUUUAUUCGACUAAUGACGCUACACUUCAACGAGAGAGACAAAAAUUAACCACAUUCAACCGCCCAAAGAGUGAUAUUUUUAUAAACAUUUUUCAUCGUACUUCCGUUGAUUAUAGCACAUAAGAGAAACGGUUAGUACAAAGGGGGAACGUAUUACGACUGAAUACCGAGUAGAUAGAGUGAUAUUAUACAGGAAUCUAUUUUUCUGAAUAUGGAAUAACGCGCGAUAAAAUAGCCGAUUUAGGAUCUGGAUUGCUGUCGAAAAGAUGAUCGUACGAUAGAUCAAGCCAGAAGUACUCCACUUUGUCAAUAAUCAUGUCUGUAACACGUGUGUCUAUUGUAAGAGUGACGAGUAAAACCCUAGGCUUGGAAUAAAUCUGAAGUUUUCUGAUACGUUUGUCUUGUUCCCUUCUUUGGAAAAUAUUUAAAAGAGGAAACGAGACAAACUUGAGACUUAUUCCAAGCCUAGGGUUUUGCCCAUCACUGCACUGUAGCUGUCUAUAACAGAUGUCUCACGUUUGCUAUAGCUGAAUUAACAUUGACUAUUUAUCAUAUAUUAUAUAUCUAUCAUGGAUUUGGUCUGUAACAGAAAUGGGAAAAUUCUUCUUCAAACAAAAAUUGAAAGAUGAACUGCUUCUAAGGUGUUAUUUGUUUGGUGACAAUUAUAAAUUAAUUAUAUAUAUAUAAUUAUAUAAUUAUAAAUUAAUAUAUAUAUAAUUACAAUUAUUAUAAAUAUAAUAUAAAUUGUCCAAUGAAACUAUCGAUAGGUUUGCUAGGUAAUUAAAACUAAACCUGGAGUCAGUCAUGAUUUUUUAGAAUGGAUUGUUCAGAGGUUUUCAAAAUUAUAACUUUUGCCUCCUUGGCGUCUUUUGCGAAUAAUAUAAGUAUUAUUUGGUAAACGCAAAUGAGAAGUGAUAAAUGCUUUUUUAUAGCAUAUGCAUUGUUCGAAUUUGUUGGUAUCAGAACUGUGAAGAAUUUCUUGUUGGCUUAUGGCAAGAAUACAGAAUAUAAAUCGAACGAGUAAAAAUGUAAAUAGAUGUGUAGUUCCUAUAAAAUUAUUGUGUGGUCAGUAAAAUACGUAAAGAGAGCUAUUUUUAUUACAACGAGAAGAUACUAUAGAUGAGACCUGAUGGAACUAUAGGUAUGGAUGCGAAUAGCGUUAUUUUUAUUACAAGGAGAAGUAAGAUAUUUUUAUUCGUUCGAUCCAUGUCAUGUAUUCCAUUUGCAAAAGACAAUUAUGUGUGCUCAUAAUAAGAGAUGAAAUAAUAAACACAAUGCUUGAAAGAUUACACAAGGAUUAAAAUGAAACCAUACUUCGAGUUAACACGAUGACUGCCACACUCAUUCGCAUGGAAGUCUCCACAGAACUAAAAUUUCGUCUCGAGACAAUUAGAAACUAUAGAAUCUAAUAUUUGUCGUAUUACUUAUUUUUUAAUUCUCAUCAAGAUUAACGAAUACUAUCCAGACCUGCUUUCAUCAAUAGUUACUCCUUUAAAUUAUUUGUUGAAGUUCUUUAGUAAAAAGCUCCGUCACUCAUAUGUGGGUGACGUGACGUUUAAUGUGUUAAAUAUGUAAACUCUUAUUUGAACAAUUAAUCACUUGUUUCUCGUUAUUGAAAUGUUUCCCAUCUCCGAGGCAGAUCCAUCUUCUUGUACUACGCUAUUUAAAUUCUAGUCGACAUAAUACUAAUCGUAAACAAUUGGGAUGUUAAUGGGCACGGAUAUUAAUAUUCCUCAAAUACAAAACUAUUAUUAAAUAUCGAAUAAGAACGAUCAUUGUAUUUGUCUGCAUGUAGCUACUACAUAUUACUCGAUACUUGUAAUGUUUCGAUGGAAUACUACACGAAUCUGAAUAUACGUGUUAUGUAUCGCUGAUAAAAGUAUCUCUGUGUUAAAAUAUCGUCUAAUUAAUGUUAAUGGCAUUCAAUGAAUAUUAAUGUCAAAUAGUAAACCCACGAAGUAUAAUCGUGUAUUAAAUGAAAAAGAUAACAGCGCUCAGUGACCUAAUCUUCUCUGUACAUUGCUCCUCGAUGCAAUGUUUCGUUACUUUGUUUUUCUAAUUCGAUGCAAUUCAGUUUCCAAUUUUGUGAUGCGAUCAGACUGAUAAUUCAUCGGCUGGGAAGAUAAAUUAACCGACAGCUAAGAUAAUUAGCUAAGUUUCAUUACAGUUGGAAAAGUCUUCUUUAAACUUGGAAAAAAAGAGAGAUUGCGUUGCUUCCUGUUGAUUUCAUGGACUUUGGAAAAUCCAUACAAAUUAUAAAUGAAAAUCAUUCUCUAGAAGUUAACGAUAUGGAUGUGAUAAAUGUUUAUGUAACACUUGACGCGAAUGUUAUGAGUGUACUUGAUGUAUCGAUAAAAUUCGAGAUAAAUGUAAACAAUGUA